rnacentral:lncRNA from 1 species
AAUAUUUGAGGGAGUCUAAUGUAACUGCUCAACCACGUUGAAUUCACUCCUCUUGAUCAGUCGGAGUACCUCAUCAUCAUCACUAUUGGCUUUCAAAUUGCUGGAUUCACCAGACUUAUCUCUUGAACAACCCACAGGAUUUAAACUAGGCACCUCUGCUUUCUUACCAACAAUCAAUUCUUCCUUACUCCCAGGGACAACUGGCCCAAAAAC